GGGCGCAUGGUGUAGUUGGUUAUCACGCUCGCUUAGCAUUUUCAGAACAUGCGAGAGGUGUUGGGUUCAAUUCCCAAUGCGUCCA